CUUAUUUGACUCAUCUUUUAUUAAGGGUAGGUGCUAACUACUAACAGUGUGAUAUUUCUCCUCCCACUUUCUGAGAAGUUCAAAUCACCUAUAAAAAAUCAGGCUUCGUUAAGCCUACAGUAUUAGCAGCUCUUUUCACAGGUGGAGGAAACAAGAGCCAGAUGAUCAGAUUCUCCAGGGAGCAUACUUUAGGCUCUCCUACGGGAUCUACCAUGCACCUACCUCAAGAUGACAUUGCAUGUACAAUGAGUGCAAUCCUACAGGAAUUCCUUGUUCUGGAAAUCAUCACCACAUUGCUGACUUGUCUCAAUGUGCUGGAAUCAUACUUCAGCAAGAGUAUGCCACUACAUUUUGCUUGCAACAGCCUUUCCUGGAAGUAAAGGAGAACACUGCAGGUGCAGACCAAGUUGAAGUCCAAUGUGCCAACAUGCUAUAAUACACUUGAUUAAAGAAGUUACCUUGUGUUUUUGCAACAGGCUUUGAGCAACAUCCAAAGAUUUCCCACAGUUGGUAGAAUGGGCAAUAGGCAAACGCUCUUUAAUCCAAUUCAUCUCCAUGUCAUGGUAAUGGUAGAACUCGUAAAGAUCCACUGCAGCUUCCAGCAACUUACGUCUCUCGUUAAGAGGUGCUUGUAAAGACUCAAACCUAGGGGUCAUCCAUGAAAAUAUAUAUUAAAAAAAAGCUUUAUCCCAGUUCUGCAAAAGGAAUUAGCCUAUUAUACCACAGGGAUGAUCACGGAACACUGGACACCUACCUCUGCAAUUAAACUUCAAUGGAUAGUACUGGCUGUACAUACAAGAACCCCUUCUCCAGACGGCUACUUUUGGCAAGUAAGGAAGAGAUUUGAUAUGAGGGCAGAGGAAAUGGGACCAGGACCGUAUGAAGCUGUGAUACUGUUGAUAAGGCUUUGUAGUAAUAUAGACAUGCAUGGAUCAUGCAGCUGCAAUAUAUAGUGCUAGUGGACAAUUAACAACACUCUAAUCUUCCACUUCGUAAGCCUACAUCUAAAGGGGAAUACAGUUAACAUACAAUCCAUGCCUCAAUUUCCAACCAUUUAAGUAGUGUUCUUUGGAAGAAAGAGAAUUUCAGUCCGCUUUUUAGUUUAGACUUAUAUGAUAACAACACACUCCAGUAGAGGGAAAAAAGAUUUACACUUUUGAAGCCAUAGCCUUGUGUUGUGAUGUUUUAAGGAAGCUAGCCACUACUGAAUACUGGAUCACUGCACCUCUUAGCAAGCAGCUGGAUGACCUAUAGGUAACCAGUGGACCAGAGUAGGAGGGCAACAGACAAGAAGUAAGUUCCAGCAAUAAAUAUUGAGGUGAGUCAACAGGCAGCUGUGCAGGUACAGACCAAAGCACUAUUGUGGCAGAAACAGUAGGAAAAAUAAUUCCUGAAUAUAGCUUAAACUUAAUCAACUGAAAGGCAUCUUCUAGAAUGUGGAACAAAAAAUGCUGUGUCACAAGGGGUGGAAACAGAAAGAGAAUGGCACCUCACCUUUUCAGGUAUUUCUGUGUUUCCUCCAGAAUCCUCUGGGAGUCAAAGUGAUUGGUGGCCAUUUUCCUCGCAUGAGACACAAUAGAGUUCAUUUUCUCUGCCAGCUCAUGUGUCUCAUUUUCUAGCUGCCUGUGCUGCUUGAGUAGAUCACGGCUGGAGCGCAGAUCAUGGCCUGUCUCUGAUUCCUGAAGAACCUUCUCAAUUUUCUCUAUCUUCUUUUUGGCAUCCUACCGGGAAAAGGUUACUGCACACUCAUAAUGACCUUGCAACACCAUUUUCUUUCACUCAGCUAUUCCCAUGACAGCUUCCUGGAUACAAUUUUUAAAUUCAUAUGUUCUUGCUUGGUAACACGAUGCCAGGUGUCUAUAAGAGGCAUCUCCUGGGAAUACUUUGCUUUGCUCUCUAUUUUGGUGUACUUUUCUUUCCCAGCCACUAAAGUACAUGAUUACAAAAUCAUCUCUUUGAACCAUCUUCAGUGACAUUGCAUAAAACAAACUUCAAAGGCUUCAAAUUUUAGCUUUUAAUUUCAAUACAGCAACAGUUUCAUUAAAUAUUAGUAUCUGGAAACGGCUUCACAGCAUAUUGUUCCUCUCAUACAAUUUGCCUGGAUUACUUAUUUAAUGUAGUGCCAUGCCUCAAACCGACUCCAAGCAAGCCAGAAUGUUUGCAUAGCAUUUAAUCUUGCAGAUACUUUUGAUUUGUUUCUCAGUAUUCAAUAGUCACAUAGAUGCAGUGCUGAGCCAGAGCUCAGCAGCUUUGCAUCUUGGUGCCAUGCUGGCACUGUUGUCCUACUCUUAGCUUUAGUGUGCUUGACUGGCCUUAUAUUGGGGUUUUCUCUCCCGAGACUGUAGGCAAAGUCCAGCGAUCUGUCUGAUGUCCAAACACCUUAAAAUAUACUUUUAUCUGGAGGGUAUUCUGCUCUUUUUCUUGAGGAUCACUCCAUAUCAACAGUGAAACCAGGUUUCUAGGCCACCCCUCCCCCCUGCAUCCCACCACCUCCUGACCUGGAGCAGUUCCAUGAGCUGUUCUUGCUGCCCAGCUUGUCUCAGCUUGUCACCUCGCUCUGUCAUCUUGCCAUACAGUUCCUUCCACUUCUUUUGUAGCUCUGACAUCUUGUUCUGUAUAGAAACUGCAGCAUAAUGGCCAUCUUGAACCAUCUGAUUUCCUUUCUGGAGAAACACAGCACAAUUUAUUUUAUUUAUUUAUUUAUUUUUGAGAAGAUCAGCUUCUACAAAAUUUGGUACAAGAUGGAAGACUUAGCUCCAAAACUGUCUUCACCUUUAUUAGUGUUGCAAAAUGCUUCUCAUUAGCCAUCAUUUCCUUCUCAGCAGCCUCAUGCCACUUCAGUUUGCGUAAAACAUUUGUUGGAUCACGAUACGAUUCGUCUGAUGCUAUCUUGUACUUCUCUUCCAUCCA